rnacentral:lncRNA from 1 species
CUUUAAAGCAUGCAUUGCACUCCCUUAGAUUGUAUUUUGUCCUAAAUGGAUUUUACCGGCAAGUUUUUAACGAGGAAACAACUAUGUACUACCUAAGGAGAACUCAACAGUAUCCAAGACUUCUUUUCAAUCAACCUCGAAUACUAGGGGAAUCACCCUCAGAGGUUAUAUUUUCAGGAAAAUACUCUACGUCAUGCCAAAGAAGGCCUCGAUAGGAGAACUUUGUAGUGAG